rnacentral:rRNA from 1 species
UGCCAGCCGCCGCGGUAAUACGUAGGGUGCGAGCGUUAAUCGGAAUUACUGGGCGUAAAGAGUGCGCAGGCGGCUCUCUAAGACAGGUGUGAAAUCCCCGGGCUUAACCUGGGAAUGGCGCUUGUGACUGGAGAGCUAGAGUGUGGCAGAGGGGAAUGGAAUUCCUGGUGUAGCGGUGGAAUGCGUAGAUAUUAUGAAGAAUACCAGUGGCGAAGGCGGCCUCCUGGAUCUGUACUGACACUGAGGUGCGAAAGCGUGGGUUGCGAACAGGAUUAGAUA